CACGUAGGGGGCAAGCGUUGUCCGGAUUUAUUGGGCGUAAAGAGCUCGUAGGCGGCUCAGUAAGUCAGGUGUGAAACCUCCAGGCUCAACCUGGAGACGCCACCUGAUACUGCUGUGGCUAGAGUCCGGUAGGGGAGCGUGGAAUUCCUGGUGUAGCGGUGAAAUGCGCAGAUAUCAGGAAGAACACCUAUGGCGAAGGCAGCUCUCUGGGACGGUACUGACGCUGAGACGCGAAAGCGUGGGGAGCGAACAGG
rnacentral:rRNA from 1 species